UUAAAGUUGGAUGGUUGUCUUCAUCAUCUUCGAAAACUGCUUUGUAUUGAUGUGAUUCUGAAUGUUGGUGUUACAGAGGACUUCUUCUGUGACCUGCAAACAGAAUUCCAAAACUAGGAAGCUAGCGCCGGUUCACAAGGGAAGCCGAAGAACUUGUGGGAGGAAUUGGCAGACCCUCGAUCGGCGCAAGCGUCUCUUGAUUGCUAUGGAUGUGGCAUUUGGGAUGGAAUACUUGCAUGGAAAGAACAUAGUACACUUUGAUUUAAAAAGUGACAAUUUACUUGUCAAUCUGAGGGAUCCUCAACGUCCUAUAUGCAAGGUGCCAUUUACCAAAUUUAUAUAUUGGAAUGGAAUACAUGCGGACACAGUUUUAAACUUGUUGGACAGCAUCUUCUGUAUUUGGGGCAGAAGCCUGGCUUUGGAGGCUUUUGAUCAACUCCAACUCAAACAAGUCCUUCUGGUAGUGCAUUUCAACAAACACAAUUGUUGUUUCUUUCAGAUUCAAGAUCUAGUGGAUGAUACCCAGAAAUGGAAAGUCUGAGAGUGAUGUUCCUGUCAAAUCUCAGAUGCCCCUCUUGGAAGCAAGGGAAGAUUCUUCACUUAAUGACAAAACCAUCGACUCAUUUAAUCGGAACACAUUCUGCAUACUGUUAAUGCCUGUGUUUAAUGGUGAUUUUCAAAGCAGCUUGCAGGGGAAUUCUACCAGCAAGCUUCAGUUCUGCUUUAAAGGUGGUUUGUUUGUUAGAUUAGUGCUUCUAUAUUAGUUUAAGCUUUUCUGGUAUUGAUUUCCAGGCUCAUAAAGUUCUGAAGUUAAUAUCCAAUGAUGGUUCCAUGCUUCAGGUGACCCCACCAUUCAGUCCAAACAGGUUCUAGAAGUCGUUUUCAUCAAUUUAGGGAACAACCCAUUUGAGCUUUUUAGGGAUUCUAUCUAGUUGGUUUGCCUUGAAAAUCAAGCUAAUAAUUAUUAGCCUUUUUAAAAAAAAAAAAAAGUCUUCCUCUGUUUUUUUUUUUUUUCCCCUUUCCCCUUGUUUCAGAAGUGGGUCUCUCCCAAACUUCCCACAAACUGUUGGGAAAGUUGAUAAUUCAGAAAAUCAGGCUGUUUUCGUGGAUAAAUCUAAGAGCUAUUGUUCCUUCAAAUCAGAUAGAGGAUCUGAGGACAGUGAAAAACUGGCUUUACCCAUAGCGGGUGAGGUAAAUGACCAAGAGUUUGAUAAGCCACCACCCCGUGGACUUGAAGAGGAAUCUCGACUACUCAACCCACUUCUUCAUAACAAAAUUUGACCAGUGAUAUCGAAUGAGUGUAUUUCUAAGAUUGGCAUGUUUCCUUGGCUUUGUGCAGACAGUGGUUGCAUGACGAUGUGCUUAGCGAAUGGAGAGCUUCUCACAAUGAUGCUGCUCUUCUCACGUUGAUGCUGCUUUUGCAGUGCAGCCCAUGGCCAAAUAUUGGUCGGGUGGAGAGGUGUUUUUUUAUAUUUGAAGAUGAGGAGAGUGUAGAGUGUAGAGGGUGAAGGCAAGGCAAGACUUGUGAGCUUAUGCUGAAGAAGUGAAGGGAAAAGUUGCCUUGGGCUGGAAAAGGGGGGAAAAGAGAAGCCAGUAAAAGAGAGUUAAUGCACAUGGAUGAAAGCACAGCAUUGCAUCAUUUUAGAAACUUGGUUUCUGUAGUUGAAUGUCGUCACUUGGGUGAGAAAAUUUGAAAUUGAAACUGCCCAUGUUUACUUCUUAUCUGUAACCUUCUGUUGUGAAUGAAGUGAUUGAAUAUUGAGUUUUGGGGAAAAGGAAAUGGGGAUUGUAUAUGCUAACAUUAUUCCAUGAAGAAUGCAAUACUGUUUUUCUGUUCCA